rnacentral:rRNA from 1 species
AGCGAACGCUGGCGGCAGGCUUAACACAUGCAAGUCGAGCGGGCAUCUUCGGAUGUCAGCGGCAGACGGGUGAGUAACACGUGGGAACGUACCCUUCGGUUCGGAACAACUCUGGGAAACUGGAGCUAAUACCGGAUACGCCCUUAUGGGGAAAGGUUUACUGCCGAAGGAUCGGCCCGCGUCUGAUUAGCUAGUUGGUGGGGUAACGGCCUACCAAGGCGACGAUCAGUAGCUGGUCUGGGAGGAUGGUCAGCCACACUGGGACGGGGACACGGCCCAGACUCCUACGGGAGGCAGCAGUGGGGAAUAUUGGACAAUGGGCGCAAGCCUGAUCCAGCCAUGCCGCGUGAGUGAUGAAGGCCUUAGGGUUGUAAAGCUCUUUUGUCCGGGACGAUAAUGACGGUACCGGAAGAAUAAGCCCCGGCUAACUUCGUG